AAAAAGGUAAACCUUAGGUUUCCGUGCCAACGUUUGACUGUCCGUCUUAUAUGAAAUUUUUUUAUAAUUAGUAUUUUCAUUUUUGUUAGAUGAUAAAACAUGAUUAAUACUUUAUGCGUGACUUAUCUUUUUAAUUUUUUUUUCAUAUUUUUUUCAAAUAAGACGGACUGUCAAACGUUGGACACAGAAAUCAGGGUUUGUCUUUUU
rfam:Oryza sativa Japonica Group DNA, chromosome 4, cultivar: Nipponbare, complete sequence.